UACGGAGGGUGCAAGCGUUGUUCGGAUUUAUUGGGCGUAAAGCGCGUGUAGGCGGUUUCCUAAGUCUGAUGUGAAAGCCCUGGGCUCAACCCAGGAAGUGCAUUGGAUACUGGGAGACUUGAAUACGGGAGAGGGUAGUGGAAUUCCUAGUGUAGGAGUGAAAUCCGUAGAUAUUAGGAGGAACACCGGUGGCGAAGGCGGCUACCUGGACCGAUAUUGACGCUGAGACGCGAAAGCGUGGGGAGCAAACAGG
rnacentral:rRNA from 1 species